rnacentral:rRNA from 1 species
AUUGAACGCUGGCGGCAUGCUUUACACAUGCAAGUCGAACGGCAGCGCGGGCUUCGGCCUGGCGGCGAGUGGCGAACGGGUGAGUAAUGCAUCGGAACGUGCCCAGUAGUGGGGGAUAGCCCGGCGAAAGCCGGAUUAAUACCGCAUACGACCUGAGGGUGAAGGCGGGGGACCGUAAGGCCUCGCGCUAUUGGAGCGGCCGAUGUCGGAUUAGCUAGUUGGUGGGGUAAAGGCUUACCAAGGCGACGAUCCGUAGCUGGUCUGAGAGGACGACCAGCCACACUGGGACUGAGACACGGCCCAGACUCCUACGGGAGGCAGCAGUGGGGAAUUUUGGACAAUGGGGGCAACCCUGAUCCAGCCAUGCCGCGUGCGGGAAGAAGGCCUUCGGGUUGUAAACCGCUUUUGUUCGGGAAGAAAUCCUCUGGGCUAAUACCCCGGGGGGAUGACGGUACCGGAAGAAUAAGCACCGGCUAACUACGUG